rnacentral:lncRNA from 8 species
ACCCUUUACUGGUCAGGACAUGACAGUACCCCCCCCCCCCCCCCCCCAAAGGUGCAUACCCCGGAUGCACCUCAAACAAAAAACACAAAAAUCAACCCCAAAACAAAAAUAAUCCCAAACAAAAGGGAGGGAAGGGAGGGUGGCCACCGUCACCGACGGUUCUUGUGCUACACCCCCCCCUCCCCAAUCCUCCAAUAUGGAGAGACGGCCCACAGUCCGGAGCCACGCACCAGGCCUCCAGUGCGUCAGCCCAGUCCAGUACGUCCUGUUCCCGCUCCUCGCACACGCCUUGGGGUGUGUGUCUCCAGUCUGGUACCUCCAGUACCAGCCCCACAACUAGGCCUCCAGUGCGUCAGCCCAGAGCCUGCAGAGACGGCCCACAGUCCGGAGCCUGCAGAGACGGCCCACAGUCCGGAGCCGGCCCACAGUCCGGCUCCGGGCCGUCUCUGCCGGCUCCGGGCCGUCUCUGCCGGCUGCGGACUCCGGGCCGUCUCUGCCGGCUCCGGGCCGUCUCUGCCGGCUCCGGACUGUGGGCCGUCUCUGCCGGCUCCGGACUGUGGGCCGUCUCUGCAGGCUCCGGACUGUGGGCCGUCUCUGCAGGCUCCGGACUGUGGGCCGUCUCUGCAGGCUCCGGACUGUAGGACAUCGCCGGAAGCACUGGACGGGGAACUGUCGCCGGAAGCUCUGGACGGGGAACUGUCGCCGGAAGCUCUGGACGGGGAACUGUCGCCGGAAGCUCUGGACGGGGAACUGUCGCCGGAAGCUCUGGACGGGGAACUGUCGCCGGAAGCUCUGGACGGGGAACUGUCGCCGGAAGCUCUGGACGGGGGAACUGUCGCCGGAAGCUCUGGACGGGGAACUGUCGCCGGAAGCUCUGGACGGGGAACUGUCGCCGGAAGCUCUGGACGGGGACUGCGCACUGAAGGCCUGAUGCAUGGGGCUGGCUUUGGAGGCGCCAGACCAUUUUCACACACCACAGGGCUAGUACGAGGAGCAGGAGCAGGACGAACUGGACUGGGCUGA